UUUAAACGAGGUCAUAGUCACCAAGUGGAAGUUCUCUCCUCCCUUCAGAGAAAGGUACCUCCUUCUUUGAUGGCCUGUUCUUUCCACUGGAAUCUCACUCACAGAGAUCUUUCAUUUAGAUCAUUUUUUUUUUUUUUAACCACAGUGUCUUGGCUUUCCAUGCCUGAAAUACUCUCAUGGGCUUUUUAGCCAGAUCCGAAUGCCUUAAGGGCUGAUUCUGAGGCCAGAGUGCUGUUUAGGACAUCUGCCAUUAUAUGAGUCUACUGUGUAUCCCGCUUCCCAUGUUGGAUUGUUCUCUCCCUUUUUUAUUCUAUCAGUUAGUAUUUGCAGACACUAGUCUUGUUUGUGUGAUCCCUUUGACACUUAAUCCUAUCAUUAUGAUCAAUUAUGAACUCAAACUGAUCACUUGGACUAGUGAGAUGGCAUUGGUACAUGCCAUCUUCAUGGGAUUGAAUUGGAAUCCCCAGGCACGUUUCUAACUCUACCAUUAGAGGGAGAGGGGUAACGGUGCUGGCCUGGCAGAAUAUUCCCAGCUGGCUGGCGACAGGCUUGCAUCAAGGUCUCGCAUGUGAGUGACAGUGAAACAAUCACUUGAGCCAUUACCUGCUACCUCCCAAGAUCUUCAUUAACAGAAAACUGGAGUCAAGAGCAGAGCUGGGACUUGAAUCCAGGCGUGCAGCCAUCCCCACUAAUGGCUUAACUGCUGGGUCAUAUGCCUACCAUAUGCUUUUAGAUUCUGAGACGAGUUUUAACACAUUGUUUUUCAAUAUAAAUUCCCAAAUAGUUGGAAAAGGAGCUCAGCAAGAUGUUGAAGGCGGGUAUGAACUGGUACCAUCAAUAUAUCCCAGAACUACCUUGCUUCCCAUUUGAGGGUUUGACAGUGACAGUGUCAAAUAACUUUGAAUUACCCGGUGAGAAAGUUAUUUCAAUCCUAAUUACAUGAAGAAAUCUCCACUGGACAACAGCAUAUCUUCACAUCUUUGGCCCUAGCUAGUCUCCCUUUUAACAAAAAUUCCAGGUCAGCCUUAAGCUAAAUAAGAAUUGAGAAUAUUGUGUCUCUGUUGUGCUUAUUUAUAGCAAUUACUAUUGCUUUUCCAACUACAAUUGCAUCAUAGUGUCUUUUAAAAAUGCAGCUAAUUUGAAAAGUGAAUAAAUCCAAAAGAAAGCUAUUAAAUAAUAGUAUGAGUGGUGUAACUAUGGCUAAAGUCAUGUAGAUUGUGUUUAAAAGAUCAGUGUGUGGGAAUCACUUGUUUAAUAUAAUGGUUUCCCUACUUCCAUAGGGAAAAAGGAAAUAGACAAGGAUCCAUAUAGAUUUACUUAGGCUAAUUCUGCAAUGUGAUUUUGAUUAAAGAAGAAAAUUGGUUUAUUGAGGGAAGAGUCUCAAUUCAUUUGGGGCUAAAAACACAGAACGCUUAUUUUUCCCAAUCACUGCUUUUGGCUCUGCUCUAAUGAAGUCCCCUCCCCAAGUGGGUGCCAAGGACUUUUAGCAACACUUUAGUCAGAUUCUCCAGCUUUUGGUCAUUUUUGGCAAUUAAAAUUCACCUUCAGUUUUUAUGACUCAGACUUGUAAAUUUAAAACUUUUAACCUUUGUGGGUGAGGGUUUUGCCUAGUGGUUAAGACAGUGAUUUAAGAUGCCUGUGUUCAUUGGAAUGGCUGAGUGGAAUUCCUGGCUCUGGGUCUCAAUUCCAGUUUCCUGCUCCUGCGUACUUGGAGGCAGUGGGAUGGCUCAAGUGAUGGGGUUUCUGCCACCCUCAUGGGAGACCUGGGUUGGUUUCCUGACUCCUGGUUUUAGUCUAGCUCAGUUUUGGCUGUUGAGGGCUUUUGAGAAGUGAACUAAUAGAUGGGAGCUUUCUCUUUUCUUUCUUUUCUCUGCCUUUCACCUAGCCAGCCCUUGGGCUCCAGUGGCUAGUCUUGGACAUGGCAUGGCUUGCUUUGAUAGACCCCCCAUCCCUCCACUUACCUCCAAGCACCUGCUCCCCUAUGCUGAGGUGGAGAGGAAGGAGAAAUAAGAGCAAUCUCCAUAACUGACCUGAUGUCUUUAAGCAUCUCUUCGUGGGAGGUCGGCCCUGGUCUUUAUGGGUGCAAAAAUGUGGACAAAUGGUAGCUCCAAAAUGCCCCUUUACUGGCAGAUCAGUCCCAGGAAGCAUCCCUAGAUGUUGAUAAAUUUGCAAGACUGGAUUUCAAAUGAACACCCUCUGUCUGCUUCAAUGCACUUGCCUCUUUGAUUCCUGCUAGAGCAGUCCCCAGUUGGACUUUAGACUCCGAUUUCAGGGGCUCAGAGGUGUGUAUGGAAUCCUUUUGUGUACAACCUGGGAACUGGAACUAUGCCAAGGGUGCAUGGAAAUGGUAGCCCCUCUCUGUCUGAUCAGCCCUGCAUUGUGCUUCUACCCUAAUUCAUUCCUUUAGGCCUGGAUCAUAGAGGCAGGUGAGCAGACCCACUGACUAACACAGGCAUCGAACCAGGGAAUAAAAUCAGAAUUCCCCUUCCAUAGUCCUCUGCCCUAAGCCCACCAAUGAUUGAUUCUCUUGGAAGUUGCCUCCUUUGGUUUCCAAAAAGGGAAGCAGCUCUUCCCUCCUGAUCACAGAGGAGAGACCAUGAAUGACCUCUUCUAGGGAGAAAUGUUCCCACCAAAAGUGACUUUUUCCUUUUUCUGUAAUCAUCCUUACAUUUCUUUCUGGUAGGUAUAGUAGGAUGAAUAAUAGGCCCCCAAAGAUACCAGGUCUUAAUCCUUGGAACCUGUAGGGCAAGGGUUUUGGUAGAUGUGAUUAAGUUAAAGCUCUUUCGUGUAUCCUAGAUUAUCUGGGUGAACCCUAAAUACAAUCAUCACCAAUGUCCUUACAGAAGAGAGGCCGAGAAAGAUUUGACACCAACACAAAGAAUAGGUGGUGUGAAGUGAAGAUGAAAGCAGACAUUGAAGUGAUGUGAUCACUCGCCAAGGGAUGCAAGCAGCUUCCAAAACCUGGAAAACCUAAAGUAUAGAUUAUUCCCUGGAACCUCCAGGGGGAGUAUGAUCCUGUGGACACCUUGAUUUGGGCCCAUAAAUACUGAUUUCACAGUUUGCUUCCUGCAUUGUGAGAGAAUAACCUUUUGUGGUUUUUGAACCCCCCAGUUUGUGAUAGUUUGUUACAGCAGCCCUCAGAAACAGAUGCAGUGGUGUAGAACCCAUUUUGUUGACAUAAUGCUGUUCAAUGACUAUCUCUAAGAUAAGUGCUUCUUAGAGAUAACAGUGGGGGUGCUGUCAAGGAUUUUUUGCUUGCACAAGUGUUAGUUAAGCUCUUGAACUUCUUUUAGAUCUGUUUGUGCACUGUCUUGUAAAAUCUAGUUUUCGCAAAGAACUCUGCUAAGUGAGAUUAACAAGGAUACCCACCCUCAAUAUCUGAUCAGGACCCUCAUCCUCCACCACCCAUCAAGUGAUGUCUGUUCACCUGGCUUGUUUUUGGCAGGAAUUCUGUGAAGGGUUCUGCAUUCUGGCACAGUGAAUUAAUCCAUUGCUUGCAACACUGGCAUCCUGUAUUGGAGUGCUAAUUUGAGUCCUGGCUGCUCUGUGUUCAAUUCAGCUUCCUGCUAACGUGCCUGGGAAGGCAGCAGAAGAUGGCCCAAGUACUUGUAUCCCUGACAUCUACAUGGGAGACCAGGAUGGAGUUCUUGGCUCCUGGCUUUAGCUUGGCACACAUCUGGCUAUUGUGGCCAUUCGGGAAAUAAACCAACAGAUGGAAGAUUAAUCUCUCUUUCUUCCUGUCUCCCCUGUUAAGUUGGUUCAGCCAGAAUCUCCCUCACUCCUGAUGUUUCUUCUUAGUCAUUUUCUAUUCACUGAUUCUCAGCCUGUUUCUUGGCUAUAAAUUCUCACUUACCAAUUGAAGUCAAUAUAUCUUCCCCAUUACAAAACCCCUUGCAGUGAUCCUUUUAUCUACUACCUAAUUAAAUCUCUGCUCCAUUAUUUUAAUAAGUGUCAUUGAAUACAUCUCAAAAAAUAGUACCCAAAAAUAGUACUUUUUGUUCUGCUUUUGAGUCUUGAUCAAAAUCCAGGGAGCCCGGGUGGGGAGUGGGGGGGCGGGACUCUCACUAACCAUUUAACUCCAUUCUGUUAAAAAAUGAACAUCACCAUUAACUCCCAGAGUAGUCAUUAAAAACAUCUUGGGACAGGUGCUUGGCACAGUGGUUAAGAUGCCAUGUGGGAUGCCCACACCCUGUUUCAGAAUGCCUGAAUUCUAGUCCCAGCUCCGCUCUCCAUUCCUGCUUCCUGUUGAUGUGCACCCUGGAAGGCAGUAGGUGAGGGCUCAAGUACUUGGAUCCCUGACACCCACAUGGGAGACUGGGGUUAAGUUCUGGGCUCCUGGCUUCAGUCUGGCUCAGUACCAGCUGUUGGGGGCACUGGGGGAGUGGAUCAGCAGAUGAAAAAUCUCUGUCUCUAUCUCUCUGCCUUUCAAAUAAACAAAAAUUACCAAAAAACAAACAGACAAGAAACUUGCUCUUCUACACAACGAAGAAUGUUGGCUUUCAUUUAUAUAUAAAACAGAUUCUCUCACAAAUUUUAGCAGAAACUGCUAUUUUCUCUUAAUAUCUGUUUUCCCUUAUACUGCAUAAUGACAGCAUUCACAAUUUUAGUUGGUCAAUAUGAAAACAAAACUCUAUUAUCUUCUUUUGUAGCUAGGAUGCACACAUGACAAAAUUCUGGUUGGUGUUUAUAAAAUAGAAGUGUGUGCAAUAUUAGGAAUAUGUCCUUAAAGGAAGAAAUGUGCUUCUCCUUUUUCCUUUCUUUCUUUUGCCUGGAAUGAGGAUGUAAUAGUAGGGCCUGGAGCAUCCAUCACAGACCGUGAGGUGGCUAUAAGAAUGAAGUCAGUACUCAGCACAGCAACAAGCUAGAAGGAGCCCGAGUCCCAGGGAACUUCUUAUCAAUUUAGGGGAUCUACUGUCUUCAGACUUUCACAAGAAAGAGAACUAGAUAUUUGAAUUUUCCAUUAGCAACAGUUACAUAUAAUCCUAGCCAAUCAUGAGUAGGCUUUUUGUAGUGUUCAAACUAGAAUAUGGAAGUGGAUUUUCCCAGAAAUUACCUUUAUUGACCAUUUGGAAUAGUCAAUCCAUGCAGAAUGUCUAUUUGGAUUUAACUUAAAACAAAAGUGUUAUUACUCUUACACUUGGGUGUUUUUAUAGUUUGUAAUUGAAGCAAUUUGACAACUGAUGAAAUGAACCAAAUUCACAUUCAAAUUUUAUAGAGGUUGCUGUUCCACCAUUGUUUUUUCUGCCCUUGUGGUUAUCCAGAAUAACUGUUCUAAAAAUGCUAAAGGUUUGGAGAUCCUAUGGAAACAUAAUAGAAUGAACAAUGACAAGAUUGAAAUCCUUGAUCUAGAUGGUCUUAGCUAGUUUUGUGAACUUGAAAAUGACACCUCUCUGAGUCUGUUUUGUAUACUUAAAAAUAAAACAGUUAAAUUGCAACAAAAGUUGCUUCUAACUCUUUACUGCUAUGAAAAAAAUGAUAUUUUUAAAAGGCAGCAUAGAGUGGGUGUUUGUAGCAGCAGUUAAGUUGCCGUUUAUCCCAUAUCAGGAUGAAAUGAAAAUAAAUAAAUACAUUUUUAAAAGGCAGCCUUCUAGUGUUCUGUCAAAGAUCAAAUCUCUAACUUUGGAGUUAUUUUAGAACCCAUACUAUCAAGCUGCUCCAUGGGAGAUGGCAGAUUUAGUGUUAGUGAUUUCACUGAUACUUCGUUCUUAGAAAAUUAUUCAUGGUCUUAAAUCAAAUACCCAAAUUGUCAACACUACCAUUUAUUAAAAAAAGAAGAGUUUCAGAACGAGGAAGUAAAUUGUUCUGAUGACCUCCUUGACUGGUUGAAGUAGGGCAUCUGGUACUAAACCUAUAUGAAAUUUUUAUCUGCUUCCAUUAAAUGUAUAUUUGCCCUCCCCUCCAAAUCCUUGUUUUAUAACUCAGUGAAAUCGCAAAAACCUGAAGGGAAUGGGCAACUGACAUAAAUGUAUGAGGACAAUAGGUGCUAAGUCCUUGGUAUUGUUACCAGCUGUAUCCACUGCCCUGGGAACUUGCUUUUCAGUAAUAAAACACAUUACCAAGUUGUGCAUAAACAUUGAUUGAUAACCAUGAUCUCAAGGAAUUAGUGGCCAAACCUGGUUUGAAAAAAAGUUUCCAAAAAAAAGUUUCUGAUUUUCCAGAAACUCCUAAACAGCUUCUGAAAGACACUGACACCUGGGCCAUCCCUCACACUUCUAGCAGUAAACACAUCUCUAACACCACAAAUUCUGAUCCCAAGAUUUUCUUGGAAAUGAUCUCUUUAAACCAAAUCAAGUCAGAGUGCAAGAAACAUUCGUCAUUUCCUGCUCUCAUCUGGCUUUAUAAUAUGAGCUUUGUGGGAUCUUGUCAUGCCCUUUGUUUUUGUGUGAUAGCACAUUUGUUUGAAAAAAAGGGCAAGUUAGAAAGGAGAGCAUGGGGUGAAUGCAGAAAAUAUAAUAGGUUCAUUCUUAUUCUCUUUUUUUUCUUUUAAAGAUUUAUUUGUUUAUUUGAAAGGCAGCGUUAGAGAGAGAGAGAGAGGAAGAGACAGAGAUCUUCCAUCUGCUGGUUCACUCCCCAGACAGCCACAAAGGUCAGCUGGGCUGGUCCAAAGCUAGGAGCCAGAAGCUUUCUCUGGGUCUCCCACAUGAUUGUAGUGGCCCAAGCAUUUGGGCCAUCCUCUGUUGCUUUCCCAGGCACAUUAGCAGGGAGCUGGAUUGGAAGCGGAGCAGCCAGGAUGUGAUUUGAGGCCCAUAUGGGAUGCUGACACUGCAGGUGGUGGCUUUACCCACUAUGCCACAGUGCCAGCUCCAAUAGGUCCACUAUUAUUCCUGGGAGCGGGCUGUCCUCUUAGCCCAAGUGUUCUCCCCCAUGGCCAUUCUCUUUAAUAAAGAGGCUAAUCUUAUCAUGAGACAGGUCACCAUCUAGGGCUUGUCAUAGCCAAGAGCCUAGAAAAUCCAUGGGAAUUCACUGAAAUCAACAUUUUUCCCAGCUUAAUCAAUGCACAUGGUACAUAUAGUCACUGUGUGAAAGUAUGGCCUGGUUUUAUUUACCAAGUGAGGCUUACAUGAAUUUUACAAUAUAAUGUACAUGUAUUUCCAACUGCCUCUCUCUCUCUCCCUUUCUCUUCCUGAGGAUAUUUCAUCUGCAGAAAAAUGAAUGGUAGCUUGUACUAUAUUUAUUAUAUACUAUAUCUAUUAUUUAAUAGAAAGCUACUUUCUAUUAUGUGAAAAUAUAAAGCAUGUAUCCGGUAAUUUUUUUUGCAAGAGUAGUUAUGCAGAGUGUGGGUCCUAGACCAUUGUGAAUGCAUAUCAACUGCUGACACUGGACUUGUUGGGCCACAAGUGAAUGUAACCAAUCAGAAUUUCUUUAAAGACACACAAGAGGAAAAAUUUUCCAGGUUCAUGAUUGGAAGAAUUAAUAUCAUCAAAAUGUCUAUACUACCAAAAGCAAUUUACAGAUUCAAUGUGAUCCCAAUAAAACUACCAAUGAUAUUCUUCUAUAAAAAAGAUGAUAAAAUUCAUACAGAAACACAAGAGAUCCCAAAUAACUGAUGCAAACUUUUUUUUUUUUUUUUUGACAGGCAGAGUGGACAGUGAGAGAGAGAGAGAGAGACAGAGAGAAAGGUCUUCCUUUUUUUGCCAUUGGUUCACCCUCCAAUGGCCGCCCGUGGCUGGUGCGCUGUAGCCGGCGACCGCACUGAUCUGAAGCCAGGAGCCAGGUGCUUUCUCCUGGUCUCCCAUGGGGUGCAGGGCCCAAGGACUUGGGCCAUCCUCCACUGCACUCCCUGGCCACAGCAGAGAGCUGGCCUGGAAGAGGGGCAACCAGGACAGAAUCCGGCGCCCCGACCGGGACUAGAACCCAGUGUGCCGGCACAGCAAGGCAGAGGAUUAGCCUAGUGAGUCGUGGCACCGUCCCGGUUUUUUUUCUCAUGAGCUUGUAGGUCACACAUACUUGGCUAAACCCUAAAUAUUUUCACCUCAAUUUCUUUCUUUUUUUUUUUUGAUGCAAUCUUAAACAACAAAAACAAAGCUGGAGGCAUCACAAUACCAGAUUUCAAGACAUAUUACAGGGCAGUUAUAAUCAAAAAACAGCCUAGGACUGGCACGGAAAUAAACAUAUAAACCAAUGGAAGAGAAUAGAAAUCCCAGAAAUCAAUCCAUGCAUCCACAACCAACUAAUCUUUGACAAAGGACCUAAAAUAAAUUUCUGGAGAAAGGACAGUCUUUUCUUUUUUUUUUUUUAACUUUUGUUUAAUGAAUAUAAAUUUCCAAAGUACAGCUUAUGGAUUACAAUGGCUCCCCCCCCCAUAACUUCCCUCCCACCCUCAACCGUCCCCUUUCCCUCUCCCUCCCCCCUUCCAUUCACAUCAAGAUUCAUUUUCAAUUCUCUUUAUAUACAGAAGAUCAGUUUAGCAUAUAUUAAGUAAAGAUUUCAACAGUUUGCACCCACAUAGAAACAUACAGUGAAUCACCCUAGGCUCUUGUCAUGAGUUGCCAAGGCUAUGGAAGCUUUUUGAGUUCACCGACUCUGAUUAUAUUUAGACAAGGUCAUAGUCAAAGUGGAAGUUCUCUCCUCCCUUCAGAGAAAGGUACCUCCUUCUUUGAUGACCUGUUCUUUCCACUGGAAUCUCACUCACAGAGAUCUUUCAUUUAGGUCUUUGUUUUGUGUGGUGGUUUGUUUUUUUUUU